rnacentral:tRNA from 1 species
UCCCGGCGGGGCGCGGGUGGUGGCCGGCCGGCUUCGGCCCGGCCGAACUCAUGCUGCUGCUCGUGGCGGCGGUCUGGGGC